CUAAUCGACAGCCUGUGUGUGAAGUUCUAUACCAGAGUGUAACAGUGACCAAGUGCUAAAGUGGAAGCAAACAUCAUUCGCCGUGCUCUAUCUACUGGAUUGUGAAUUGUGAGCUGUAGAAAAUGAGCAGACCCCUGGUUCUCAUAAUAAUGUUACUGCUGUUGGAGAUAGGACCAGACGCUAAAGUUGCGUGACCAUCCAAGAGCUAUUACCGAUCUCAAGAUGUCCCAUGGAAGGGACAAAGCGCCGAGUGCUUUCGAUUAAAGAAGCAGGGGUGUGCAGGAGCCGGGUUGGACUCUUCAAUGGGUCAGCCUGGUUCUAUGAAGUGCCAUGAUACACUUUUGUAAUUAUUAAUACGGUUCUAUUUAUGGCUAUUUAUAAAUUUGUUAAUAAAAAUUAUUAAUAA